GUCGCGAGGCGCUCCCCCCGCGCCGCUUCCCGGCAGGCCGCGCGCGGGAGCGCCGGGCGCCGCCGCUGCCCUCGGCCUGCGUCCCGGCCGCCGGGCCCUUCUCCCGCCGCUCCGCCAUGCGCCACAGCCUCACGCAGCUGCUGGCGGCCUCGGCCGGCGGGGCCAGCCCCUCGGGCGCCGUCUGGCCGCUGGCCGGAGCGGGGCAGGCCCCGAGAGGGCGGGAUGGCGGCGGGGAAGGGGACCCGGGCCCCGCGCGGCCCAAACCGCAGCCGCCGCCGCGGCGGGAGCCCCCGGGCGCCUCGGAGCCGCGGCGGCAGGAGAAGGAGGCCGAGGCGCCCGGCGGCCCGCUGGAGGUGUGGGAGCAAGAGGACUGGUUCCCGGGGCUGGAGCUGGGAGACCUGCUGGAGGCGGCCCGGCCGGACUGGGACCUGGACGCGGAGCUGAGCGACUGCUUCUGUGGGGAGCCGGAGCCGCUGCCCGCGCCGGGCAAGGGCCCGCGGCCGGCGGCGCCCGGGCGGAGGAGCGGCGGGGCCGGGAGUCGGCUGAAGGCGGCGGCGGCGGCGCGGUUGAACCGGCUGAAGAAGAAGCAGUACGUGCUGGGGCUGGAGAGCCGCCUGCAGGGCCUGGCUGCCGAGAACCGGCAGCUGCGGGACCGCAACCGCGGCCUGAGCCGCCGCCUGCGAGAGCUGGAGCGGGAGAGCAGCUACCUGCGGGCUGUGCUGGCCAACCAGAGCGCGCUGGGGCAGCUCUUGAGCCGCCUGGCCGGGACCCGCGCCGGCGGGCUGCAGCUCAGCACCAGCCUCUUCAGGGACACGGGCAGCCGCCAGCAGCAGCAGCAGCUCCAGCCCGCCGGCGAGAGCAGCGACCACGACUACGCCCUGCCCAGCUCCCGGCCCCGCGGGCUGGAGGAGGCGGCGGCGGUGACUGAGACCGAGGAGGAGUGGGCGGCCCCCGGCGGGAUCUGCCUGCACGUGGACCGGGAUCAGGUGUCGGUGGAGUUCUGCUCCAUCUGUGCUCGGCGGGCAGCGGCCUCCUUCAAAAUUUUCUCUUUUAGGUGGUUGCCCUGCCAGGCUCCGUUGUGUAGGGGUUAAAGAACAGUCGUUUCCCACCUCGCAACCUGGUAAGGAUCAAUAUAUUCCCAUAAUGUGGUAUCAGACAGCUUGCUUUGCUUAUCCCAGUCUCUUGUAAUGACUGGUUGAGAAAAUUAUUUUUCUGUCCUUGGCCUACUCUGCCAAAAUGAUUCUAGCUCUGGAUGACAAUUUAUAGCAAAGGUUACAAUCACAUCAGUCUCAUUAGCUGUUUUCCUUUUUUCGUUUUUGAAACAACUACACUGGUUACAUAGUAGCCAAUAUAGCAGCUACAUUUUGAAUUUUAUAAAAAUGCUCAUGCAUUUGAAAUAGAAAUUUCCUAUUUAACCAAGUAUCUGAUGAGAAGAAAAAGGAAAACAUGCUAAUAAGGGGGAUGUGACACUUACUGCCUUUUAUUACAGGGGAUUGGCCCAAAAGUCUAAGUAAAUUGCUUUUUGAAUGAAAAAAAGGAAAGGAAUUGGUGACCUGUUGGUUUAAAAUGCUGUCUAGUAUUAGGGAUGCACAGUACCGUUCAAAAGCCCUUCUCUACUUGCUCUAAUUCACAGUGCAGAGUUUUACCUGAUGAAACAGCCUGAGCACUGGUUAAAUCACUGCAGAGGAAUCCUCACAUAGAGGAGUUGCUCUUGCAUGGACCUCUGAGGAGAAUUAGGUUUGAAGAAUCAGUGCAUCGAAGUAACUCAUUACUUUACCUUCCCAUAAGUAAAUCUCUGUGCCCAGGCACACUGAGAUUCCUGUGUUACUUCAGAGUAGCUUUACAUUUUAAAAAUAUUGCAUGUAUAUGCAUGUGCUUAACUCUACUGUAGAGUUCUUAAUUUAGCCUCUUACAGUAUCCAGAAAUCUAUAACCUGACAUAAUUAUAGCACAGUUUGGAGAUAAGGAAGUACGUAUCUUGAGGCUAAUGAUAGGAAAAACGCUCCAUAAUUGCUCCUGAGAUAGGAGGAGAAAUAGUUUGACAAAAAAAAUAGUGUGUGUUUUCUUGUAGUAGUCAGUGUUUCUCCCUGUCACAAAAGAUGAGUGGGUUCUUUUUUCAGUUGUAUUACAAUGUUUAGGUUGUUUAAAUGUAUGUCAGUUGGGGGAAGAAGGAUUGUGAAAAUGAUAAUAUGUAAAGUGAGGUUUCACAAAGAAUACUUUUCUAAAACAGAUUAUUUUUUUUAAUUAUGCUAUUUAGUGUUUUUGAAGUCUUGUUUCUUAAAGCCUUAAAUUUUGUGUUUAAGGCUAAGUAGAUGAAAGCAUUUCUCUGAGUCAAUUGCUUCAUUGGUGCUAGACCUUGUCACGUGUUCAUCAGUAGAAAAGGAGUUUGAUUUUUCUUUGUGAAACAUCACUGUGUGAUAAAGUAUAUGUGUAUUUAGCAUCCUUGUUUUUCUUUAUGCUAAAGUGGAUUCAGCUGUGUUGGGGCAGAAGAGACGGGACCAGCUGCUGGCCACAUUUCCUGCUUUAUUUUAAAAGUGGUAAAACAGAAAGGGGAAAAUGUUGCUGCUAUCUCUGGGUCAUCAACUGGAAAACACGAUAAAAUGGAUCAGGUUUUGCAGGAGAAAUGUUCUUGCUCUUCUGUCUUUGGAGGUAAGUGGUUCUGUUGGUUUAAGUCUGAUGGCUUCCGGAGCUAUGACAAUUCUCUGUCAUGUAAAAUACUUGGUCCAUGGGAAUCUCCAGUCGGGGUGAUUAAGGUAAGGCCAAGCUGUCUGGGUGCAGACCAGGAUGGGAACACCACGUCACACAGCAACACUGAAUCAAGAAAACUGAAUGAUCUCUACCUAACAACAAAAGGGAGUCUGCAUUGCUGCUGCUCCUGGGUAUAGAUAAAGAAUGUGUCAUGUUCCUGCUGCAAUGACCCAUUUUUAAGGAAAAGGUAGAUAAAGAUGAUGAAACUCCUUCAAUAUAUUUUUAUCAGCAUUACAAUUUAACCACUUUUAAUUAAAGGUCUCAAUGCUGAAUUCUUAAUUCUCAUUAAUAAAUAUUUCCAUGUGCAUCAGGGGAUGCUAGAAUUGUACUGAAGUGACUGUUUGCCAGUAACUGUACAGCUUUUACAGUUAGAGAACCAUUUAGGUUUGGAAAAGACCCCCAGGACCAUCGAGUCCAACCUUUCACUCAUCACCAGCUCCUUGACUAGACCAUGGCACCGAGUGCCACAUCCAGUGGUUUCUUGAACACCUCUAGGGAUGGUGACUCCUGUAACCUCCUGGGCAGUCCAUUCCAAUGCUUAACAAGCCUUUCUGAAACGAAAUUCCUCCUGAUGUUCAACCUGAAACUUCCCCAGCAGCAUUUGAGGCCAUUUCCUCUUGUCCCGUCAUUUGUUCCGUGGGAGAAGAAGCCAACCCCCACCUACAGCAGGUUAAGACCAUACAGCAGAUUGGGAGUAUUGCUUCUGUAGAAGAAUUCCUGAAUUGGCUCUCAGACUGCAGAAUACACUAAGGACACCUCAGGCAGUAGGAGAGCUGCAUUUUAUAUUGCUCUAGAAUAUACAGCCACCAAUAUGAAGACACACCCAACUCAUAAAUGUAUUACUCUGGACCACAGAUCUUGGAUGUAGGCGAGAUAAACCAGUAACGGCACCAGCACUCAAAGGCCUCUCACACACCCCCAUCCUUCAGGAAAAGACUUAAUUUCAAGGCAAAAUGGUUGCAAAACCAAAGGCUGUUUUUUUGAUAUGCUGGGAAGCCUGACAGGACUAUCACUCCUGAUUGCUCUGUGAUAAAAGUGUUCUCUACAGUGUGACCCAUCCAACAGUGUAAAAGAGGUAAUCUUGUGACAAAAGUGUUGUUCCAGCAGAAUGGCAAAAAGGGAAAAAAAGACUCAGAUUUUUAGUAGAUCUCUAGUAAAACCUUGCCUUGAGCUUCCUCCUUUUGGUUGCAGGUUUUUUUUGGGUUUUGUGGUUUGGUUUUGGGUUUUUUUUGGUUUGUUUGUUUUUUGGUUUUAUUUUUUUUAAAUAAAUCUCUAUGGUUUGCAUUAUGAUGGAAAAAAUCUCUUUUUCAAGAAUACUGAUUUUUUACAGCUUCUAAAAGUUGUAGCAUCACCUUGGAACCAAACAUUAAGCAGGAACUAUAAAUGCUUUAUUUACUCCCACUUCCAAACCAACACACCUGUCUGCUAUUCAGGUGUAUACACUAAACUAGGCAUAAUGAAAAGUUUAACCUGCAUUUAAGUUCAAAACUUAAAAAAAAAAAGCCAGUGUAGAGACUGUUUUUGUAUUAAAAAGACACAGCAACACUUCUUUUUCUUGUUUAUUAUGGUUAUUUAUCCAAGGCAAUUGAGAAGUUGCUUUACUUCAUUCAGGUAGCUCUUCAGGAUCCCUGCUACUGUUCAUCUGCAGCAGCAUUUUGAUAUAUAUCCCAUGCUGUUUUGUGGCAAGAUAUAAUCCAGUCAGAGCCUGUACCAGUAUACCCAGACUCAUCUUUCUAAAGACAGGCUGGGAAGUUGUGAGCCAGUAGCGUAACAGAUUUUCUUUCCCUGGCAAGGGAGUUGACAUAUACCUAAACAACAGAAACAGUGGUGGAAACUUUUUUUUUUUUCCAUGCAAGUGUCAAGAUUUAACAUAAAUACUUAUGUAGAUAGUAAUUUUUUCUCACUUCUCCUAUGUUAAAUUCACCUGGUGGCACUGAGGUCUCUGCAUGAAUGCUUUAAAACAUCCUGACUGUGUGCUUGGUCUCACCACCCUUGCCUGCCCCUGCUGUGCUCUGAACUACACAGAACGACAUCUGUCAGGGACUCUGCCUGCUGGGCACUGCCCAGGGUCACUGAGGUCUCCUGGCUGUCCAGCCACCUUCGGUGGUGGCAGGAUGGCAGCCACUGCUGCACACACCCAGGCACAGCCUGGGACACUUGGAAGACUCCUGCCAAACACAAGGGCUUCCCAAUGGAUCACUUUGCAGAUCUCAUUUCACUUUGGCGUAGCUCUUACAAAUUUCAUUUUGUAAUUAGAUGACCUUGAUGUCUAUCUCCUUCCACAUCCUAAAUGUCUACAAGAAGAAAAGUGUGCACAGAUCAAAUAACUACAGAAUCUACACUGCAAGCUGAACAUUUAACCCAUAAAUACAUUUCAGUCAAUACGUUGCAGAUGAGACGUACCUGGCUGCAAGGCUUGCGUUCAAGGGGAUAGCCAGGAAAAUGGGAUAGAAACCACCCACAACAGCACCUACUAAUCCUCCUCUGAUCACAGCACAGACCUCACAGUUCAGCUGACCUGCAUGGCAAACCAUAUUUCACUGCCAAUGUCCACACAUGCUCCACCACAUCAGUUUAUAGGCUGCGUGCAAGAACCUGAAAACAGGCUCUUGACAGAAACUUCCAAGCUG